GAGUUUGAUCCUGGCUCAGGAUGAACGCUGGCGGCGUGCUUAACACAUGCAAGUCGAGCGAAGCACUUAAGUCUGAUUCUUCAGAUGAAGACUUUUGUGACUGAGCGGCGGACGGGUGAGUAACGCGUGGGUAACCUGCCUCAUACAGGGGGAUAACAGUUAGAAAUGGCUGCUAAUACCGCAUAAGCGCACGGUACUGCAUGGUACAGUGUGAAAAACUCCGGUGGUACAGGAUGGGCCCGCGUCUGAUUAGCUGGUUGGCAGGGUAACGGCCUACCAAGGCAACGAUCAGUAGCCGGUCUGAGAGGAUGAACGGCCACAUUGGAACUGAGACACGGUCCAAACUCCUACGGGAGGCAGCAGUGGGGAAUAUUGCACAAUGGGGGAAACCCUGAUGCAGCAACGCCGCGUGAGUGAAGAAGUAUUUCGGUAUGUAAAGCUCUAUCAGCAGGGAAGAUAAUGACGGUACCUGACUAAGAAGCUCCGGCUAAAUACGUGCCAGCCGCCGCGGUAAUAC
rnacentral:rRNA from 1 species